CAUUGGUUGUGACAAGUGUUAUGUGCAUUGAGAAAGAAAGAGUACUUAAGAGGAUGUACCAUUUCGAGCGACGUAUCGCGCACCACGAUGGAUACUAUAUUUCGAGGGACGUAUCGCGCACAGCGAUGGUUACUUUUAUCGAGGGUCGGAUCACGCGCCGCGACAGAUGAAUGGACAGAUAUGUCCCACAUGGGUCCCGGACAGAGAAACAGCGGGUGUGUAUCUCUAGGUGGCUAAAAAUCAAAGAGAUGGAGUCAUAUAAAUGGAAUGUUUGAUAUUGACGCUAUGGAAAGAGUAUAUGGUGUUAUUCGGUUUUUUUAUGUACAUUCUUAGGUGACCACCUACUUUGUUUUGGACAUGAUUUGAAGUACAAUUCGAUGUAUAUGUCCACGUGUGUUUCUACAUAUAUCGGUAAAUUUUUAGUGGUGGAUUGGAUGUACCGAUCCUCUUAUGUCCUCUUAAUAUGGUAGAUUCUUGGAUAUAAUUGUUCAUUUCAAUUAUGAAAGAAUUGGUGUUGUUUGGAAAAUUAGAAGUAUACCAUUGUUUCUUUAUGGA